GAUGAACGCUAGCGGCAGGCCUAAUACAUGCAAGACGAACGGUAAGUUGAGUAGCAAUACUUAGCCAAGAGUGUCGUACGGGUGCGUAACACGUAUGCAACCUACCCUAUACAGGAGGAUAGCCUAGGGAAACCUGGAUUAACCCUUCAUAGUAUUAUUGGAUGGCAUCAUUUGAUAAUUAAAACUGAGGUGGUAUAGGAUGGGCAUGCGUCUGAUUAGUUAGUUGGCGGGGUAAUGGCCCACCAAGACGAUGAUCAGUAGGGGUUCUGAGAGGAAGAUCCCCCACACUGGCACUGAGAUACGGGCCAGACUCCUACGGGAGGCAGCAGUAGGGAAUAUUGGUCAAUGGAUGCAAGUCUGAACCAGCCAUGCCGCGUGCAGGGAAGAAGGCCUUUCUGGGGUUGUAAACUGCUUUUGCCAGGGGAUAAAAUUUCCAUGCGUGGAAAACUGAAGGUACCUGGUGAAUAAGCCACGGCUAACUACGUGCCAGCAGCCGCGGUAAUC
rnacentral:rRNA from 1 species